AAUAGAUACCCGGGUAGUCCACGCCGUAAACGAUGUCGACUUGGAGGUUGUUCCCUUGAGGAGUGGCUUCCGGAGCUAACGCGUUAAGUCGACCGCCUGGGGAGUACGGCCGCAAGGUUAAAACUCAAAUGAAUUGACGGGGGCCCGCACAAGCGGUGGAGCAUGUGGUUUAAUUCGAUGCAACGCGAAGAACCUUACCUACUCUUGACAUCCAGAGAACUUAGCAGAGAUGCUUUGGUGCCUUCGGGAACUCUGAGACAGGUGCUGCAUGGCUGUCGUCAGCUCGUGUUGUGAAAUGUUGGGUUAAGUCCCGCAACGAGCGCAACCCUUAUCCUUUGUUGCCAGCGGUUCGGUCCGGGAACGUCAAAGGAGACUGCCAGUGAUAAACUGGAGGAAGGUGGGGAUGACGUCAAGUCAUCAUGGCCCUUACGAGUAGGGCUACACACGUGCUACAAUGGCGUAUACAAAGAGAAGCGACCUCGCGAGAGCAAGCGGACCUCAUAAAGUACGUCGUAGUCCGGAUUGGAGU
rnacentral:rRNA from 1 species